rnacentral:rRNA from 1 species
AUUGAACGCUGGCGGCAGGCUUAACACAUACAAGUCGAGCGGAGACUUCGGUCUUAGCGGCGAACGGGUGAGUAAUACCUAGGAAUCUGCCUAUUAGUGGGGGAUAACGGCUCGAAAGGGUCGCUAAUACCGCAUACGUCCUACGGGAGAAAGUGGGGGAUCUUCGGACCUCACGCUAAUAGAUGAGCCUAGGCCGGAUUAGCUAGUUGGUAGGGUAAAGGCCUACCAAGGCGACGAUCCGUAGCUGGUCUGAGAGGAUGAUCAGCCACACUGGAACUGAGACACGGUCCAGACUCCUACGGGAGGCAGCAGUGGGGAAUAUUGGACAAUGGGGGGCAACCCUGAUCCAGCCAUGCCGCGUGUGUGAAGAAGGCC